rnacentral:rRNA from 1 species
UACGAAGGUGGCAAGCGUUGUUCGGAUUUACUGGGCGUACAGGGAGCGUAGGCGGUUGGAUAAGCCCUCCGUGAAAUCUCCAGGCUUAACCUGGAAAGUGCAGAGGGGACUGUUCAGCUAGAGGAUGGGAGAGGAGCGCGGAAUUCCCGGUGUAGCGGUGAAAUGCGUAGAGAUCCGGAGGAAGACCGGUGGCGAAGGCGGCCUGCUGGGCAGUUACUGACACUGAGGCGCGACAGCGUGGGGAGCAAACAGG